rnacentral:lncRNA from 1 species
AGGAUUGAUUAAAAAAAUUUCUUCAAAGAUAAAAGAAAAGGUCUUCAGAUAAGUGCUUAUAGAGUAUUGGCGGUGGAUGUGAACUGUUGAGACGGGAUGAAGCACGAAGAUGUGGUAGUUAAGGGACUGUCUGCUGGUGUGCAGACUGAACUGACAAUGUAGCAGUGGACACAUGGCUUCAUAACAACUAGAAACACUACACCCACCUUGAUGUAGGUCUCGUACAUCUCCAUGAAGAAGUUUUUGAUGCCAUCAUCAUUUUUUACAUCAUGGAGGCAGAUAAGUCUUAUCCUUCCAGCCGUCACAAAUGCAGACACGUACCUUAUCAAGAAAAACAAAGGUUAGAUGACACUACAGUACCUCGCCAUAAUAGACACUUCAGAGAUGAGGGGAUGUCCGUUACUGUUAAUUGUUAGUUACUGAGAGAGAGAUUUGUCUGUGAGGUCCUUAACUGCUUCCCCUUUUUUUGGGUAAUUUAUUUUUUUUUAAUAAUGUUAAAAAAUAUUUUGAACAUUCAAACCACUAUUCUGAAGUAAGAGAGUUAAUUAUAAAAGAUGUUCACUUGAUCUAAAAUAAUGUAAAAAUAUUUUGAGCAUUCAAACCACAGUUCUGAAAUAAGAGAGUUAAUUAUUAAAGAGGUUCACUUGAUCUAACACUUCUUACAUAUGCAGUCUCACUAUGGACUAUCAUCCUGCUGCAAGCCAGCCACAUAGCCACCCUCACAGUCAAUCCAAGGCAGUAAUUUACAAUGUGAACAAGUACUUAUUAAGAGAGAGAGAGAGAGAGAGAGAGAGAGAGAGAGAGAGAGAGAGAGAGAGAGAGAGAGAGAGAGAGAGAGAGAGAGAGAGAGAGAGAGAGAGAGAGAGAGAGAGAGAGAGAGAGAGAGAGAGAGAGCCCUCCUCUCCUUUCUCUCUCUCUCUCAGCAAAUUCUGUUACCAGUAGGUACCACUGCAUUCCUAUUGUGUAAGCUCCUCUUCUCUUCCCUAUUACUUUCUGUAUCAUCAUUUUCAUUCCAAAGCUGGAUGCUGUGUCUAGGUGCGUAAUGACUUGACUUGCAUUAUUACCCACACCCUUGAAUCUUCCGAGUUUCCUAACAUCUAGCUAUGACUAAAGUCACUCUGAAACUAAAUUUAUCUUUGCUGUAUACCUCUUACCAUAUUCCUAUGACUACUAAACUUUCAAAGUGGAUCAUAUGUGGUCUCUGUCCUUUGCAGAUAUCUCCAUUCUCAAAGACUCCAAAGCUCAACACCAGCUUUGGCUUUUCUCUCUCUUCACUGACCAUCCUGGUGAGCUACCCUUUAACUUGUAGUCUAAGUGAGAGGUAUACAGCACAGAUAAAUAUGGUUUGAGAGCAGAGUAAUCAUACCCAGAUGGUAGGAAACUAAGGUCAUAAUGCACAGAUGCAGUACGCAGGUUUGGAAUUAAAAUGAGGAAAGAGAGAGAAAGUAAGAAGGAACAGAAAAGGUGCUACUAUUAGUUGCUUCACACACCUGUGUUUCAGUGAGGAAAAGAUGAUAAGAUUUAGUAAAGAAAAGGUGGUGUUCUACAGAUUAAAAAUUAGAUCUAGGACUUAUGAAUGUUACAGAAGCUGAUGAAGAAAAGUUGAGAGGAGUGUCAAGACAUUAAAUUAAGGAUUGAUACCAUGAGAGGAGUCUGACCUGGAGACAUUUAUGGUCCCCUCUACCCAGAAAGGGACACCACUCCGAGGCUCUUGGCUGGUCUCCAUCUUACAUAAAAAAGUCUCACCAUUCAUUGAAUUUGUCCACCAGGCGGAGGUACAUAUUGGUGGUGGUCCACAUGCUCUCGUCUACAAGGUCCAGCGCAGCAUGAGCAAUGAACUGGUUGAGGUGGCGAUGGUCCUCCUUCUAUGGAGUGAAAAUGACACACUGCACUCUGCAUUGAUGAGAGAAAGCCUCCAUGAGACACGCUGGCCUUGUGUAUGUGACCUUGAUGACUGGACAAUGAAAGCUGUCAUGAGGGUUUUGCUACAUGAUGAACAUUACUUCUACAGCAGCUAAUAGUUGUCAUGGACCCUGGUAUCAAGGCACUGGUGGGGGAGUAAUGAUGCUGGUUAAUUCUGUUUUAUAGAUGGCUCAUCACCCGAAGGAGGUUUGUCACCACUGACUUACUCCACUGAAGCAAUUUUAUGAUAAAAACUUCAUUGCUACAGAAUCUACAAUUACCUUCCAUUAUAUCUAGUGUCAUCAUCUCUUCCAGCAGUUACUACAUUUUCUACAAUGUACUAUGCAGCACUAACACAUGUAAAAAUUUCCAUGUGCACUUCCAAAAACAAAAAUUAAAUUGUAUUCUUCAAAUGAAAGCAAAGUUUCAUAAAAUAAUGUGAAUAGUAUGCAAUAAAAGAUUACAACUGCUG